rnacentral:rRNA from 1 species
GACGAACGCUGGCGGCGUGCUUAACACAUGCAAGUCGAACAAAAAGAGGGAAAGAGCUUGCUCUUUCCGGAAUUGAGUGGCAAACGGGUGAGUAACACGUAAACAACCUGCCUUCAGGAUGGGGACAACAGACGGAAACGACUGCUAAUACCGAAUAAGUUCCAAGGGCCGCAUGGCCCAUGGAAGAAAAGGUGGCCUCUACCUGUAAGCUAUCGCCUGAAGAAGGGUUUGCGUCUGAUUAGCUGGUUGGAGGGGUAACGGCCCACCAAGGCGACGAUCAGUAGCCGGUCUGAGAGGAUGAACGGCCACACUGGAACUGAGACACGGUCCAGACUCCUACGGGAGGCAGCAGUGGGGAAUCUUCCGCAAUGGGCGAAAGCCUGACGGAGCAACGCCGCGUGAGUGAUGACGGCCUUCGGGUUGUAAAACUCUGUGAUCCGGGACGAAAAGGCAGAGUGCGAAGAACAAACUGCAUUGACGGUACCGGAAAAGCAAGCCACGGCUAACUACGUG